rnacentral:rRNA from 1 species
AUUGAACGCUGGCGGAAUGCUUUACACAUGCAAGUCGAACGGCAGCACGGACUUCGGUCUGGUGGCGAGUGGCGAACGGGUGAGUACUGUAUCGGAACGUGCCCAGUCGUGGGGGAUAACGUAGUGAAAAUUACGCUAAUACCGCAUACGAUCUAUGGAUGAAAGCGGGGGAUCGCAAGACCUCGCGCGAUUGGAGCGGCCGAUAUCAGAUUAGGUAGUUGGUGGGGGAAAGGACCACCAAGCCAACGAUCUGUAGCUGGUCUGAGAGGACGACCAGCCACACUGGAACUGAGACACGGUCCAGACUCCUACGGGAGGCAGCAGUGGGGAAUUUUGGACAAUGGGCGAAAGCCUGAUCCAGCCAUUCCGCGUGCAGGAUGAAGGCCCUCGGGUUGUAAACUGCUUUUGUACAGAACGAAAAGGUUUCUACUAAUACUAGGAGCUCAUGACGGUACUGUAAGAAUAAGCACCGGCCAACUACGUGCCAGCCGCCGCCGUAA